AAGAAGAAGAAGUUGCGGCCGCCAUGAUUAAUCCCUCACCAUCGAUUAGGUUCUUUACUUUGUUUGAAAUUGGGCUGAUUUACAUGUGGAUUCAAAUUAUUUUAUAUUAAGCCCAAACAAAUGUGUUAGCCUUGAUAAGUCAAAAAUAAAAGACAUGUGGCCCAAUAAUGUUUUAUACUCAGCCCAAAACGACAUAAAGUCAUUUUUUAUGCUUAACCCUAGAUAAAAAAAAUAUGAUUGCUUCUCUUCAACCUCCGUGCAUCUCUCUCUCGCCAGUUCUUUCUCUCCUCUUCAAAAUUCGAAACAAAACAUCGAAUAAUCAUAUCAUCUCGUCUCUUCGCCGGUUCUACCUCUUGAUCUUUUCCAGCUUGUACUUCUUCGUCCGCUAGAUUACAAUAUUGUCGGAAGUCUCAUCGGACGAGGAGAUCCAACAGUCGCCGUUGCCAUUGACGUCUCCUCGCAGCCUCGCCGUCAGCCACUUCAUGGAAAACCCUAAUUGUAAUGGGUUUGGGCUUUAAUCCAUAGUUAUGUGAUGAGUUUGGUUUUGUAAUUGUAAUUGGUUUUUUUUAUUGGUUUGUUACUAGAUUACAGAUUUUUUUGGGCCCAUUAUCUGUAUUUAGGGCUAAUUCGGUUUAAAUAAACCGAAAUAGAAAAAAAAUCGGUUUAAUUCGGAA